UCCGGCUUAUCACCGGCAGUUUCUUCAGAGUGCCCGACUUGACUCGCUGGCAACUAACGAUAAGGGUUGCGCUCGUUGCGGGACUUAACCCAACAUCUCACGACACGAGCUGACGACGGCCAUGCAGCACCUGUGUCCAGGCUCCCUUUCGGGCACACUCGACUCUCAUCGAGCUCCCUGGCAUGUCAAGGGUAGGUAAGGUUCUUCGCGUUGCAUCGAAUUAAUCCACAUCAUCCACCGCUUGUGCGGGUCCCCGUCAAUUCCUUUGAGUUUUAACCUUGCGGCCGUACUCCCCAGGCGGUCAACUUCACGCGUUAGCUGCGUUACCGAGAAAUUGCUUCCCCGACAACUAGUUGACAUCGUUUAGGGCGUGGACUAC
rnacentral:misc_RNA from 1 species